GAUAUUACACAGUACACCAAUUUCGAAGUCAGCUCACUCAACUAAUAUUGACGCUGAGGCACCGAAAGCCUGGCUAGCAUACAGGAUUAGAUACCCUGGUAGUCCACGCUGUAAACUAUGAUCACUCGCUGUUGGCCAUACAUCGUCAGCGGCUGAGCGAAAGCAUUAAGUGAUCCACCUGGGGAGUACGGUCGCAAGAUUGAAACUCAAAGGAAUUGACGGGGGCCCGCACAAGCGGAGGAACAUGUGGUUUAAUUCGAUGAUACGCGAGGAACCUUACCUGGGCUUAAAUGCAGAGCGACGUCCGCCGAAAGGUGGAUUCCUUCGGGCGAUCUGCAAGGCGCUGCAUGGUUGUCGUCAGCUCGUGCCGUGAGGUGUCGGGUUAAGUCCCAUAACGAGCGCAACCCUUAUCGUUAGUUGCCAGCGGGUAAUGCCGGGGACUCUAACGAAACUGCCGGUGCCCCCCGUGAGGAAGGUGGGGAUGACGUCAAAUCAGCACGGCCCUUAUGUCCAGGGCUACACACGUGUUACAAUGGUCGGUACAGAGGGCAGCUACCACGCAAGUGGAUGCUAAUCUCGAAAACCGGUCUCAGUUCGGAUUGAAGUCUGCAACUCGACUUCAUGAAGCUGGAUUCGCUAGUAAUCGCGCAUCACCCAUGGCGCGCUGAAUACGUUCCCGGGCCUUGUACACACCGCCCGUCAAGCCAUGGAAGCUUGGGGUACCU
rnacentral:rRNA from 1 species